rnacentral:rRNA from 1 species
GAAAGUAAGCAAGGGCAGACGGUGGAUGCCUUGGCUCUCGGAGGCGACGAAGGACGUGAUAAGCUGCGAAAAGCCCGGGGGAGGCGCAAAUAGCCCUUGAUCCCGGGAUAUCCGAAUGGGGCAACCCGGCAGGCUGAAGGCCUGCCAUCCCGAAAGGGAGGCGAACGUGGGGAACUGAAACAUCUAAGUACCCAUAGGAGGAGAAAAUAAACAAUGAUUCCGUAAGUAGUGGCGAGCGAACACGGAAGAGCCCAAACCCAUGUCGUCUAGGCGACACGGGGGUUGUAGGACCACGACGUGGCAAGAUAGAGUCAAGUGGAACGCCUUGGAAAAGGCGGUCAUAGAGGGUGAAAACCCCGUACACGACUGACGAUUGAAGCCUAGUGGCAUCCUGAGUAGCGCGGGGCACGAGAAAUCUUGCGUGAAUUAGCGGGGCCCAUCCCGUAAGGCUAAAUACUCCCGAGAGACCGAUAGCGAACCAGUACCGUGAGGGAAAGGUGAAAAGAACCCCGAGCAGGGGAGUGAAAUAGACCCUGAACCCGUCUGCCUACAAGCGGUCGGAGCGUCGUAAUGACGUGACGGCGUGCCUUUUGCAUAAUGAACCUACGAGUUACCUUCCCCGGCAAGGUUAAGUUCUUGAGGAACGGAGCCGAAGCGAAAGCGAGUCUGAACAGGGCGCCAAGUCGGGGGGGGUAGACGCGAAACCGAGUGAUCUACCCUUGGCCAGGUUGAAGGUUGGGUAACACCAACUGGAGGACCGGAUGGGUAAGCGUUGAAAAGCUUUCCAAUGAGCUGAGGGUAGGGGUGAAAGGCUAAUCAAACUCGGAGAUAGCUCGUACUCCCCGAAAUGCAUUUAGGUGCAGCCUCUUUAUAGUAUAUCGUGAGGUAGAGCGACUGAUUGGAUGCGAGGGCUUCACCGCCUAUCAAGUCCAGAUAAACUCCGAAUGCGCGAUAUAUAUUUACAGGGAGUGAGGGCGCGGGUGCUAAGGUCCGUGUCCGAGAGGAGAAGAAUCCAGACCACCGGCUAAGGCCCCCAAAUGAUCGUUAAGUUGAACUAACGAGGUCGGAUCGCAGAGACAGCUAGGAUGUUGGCUUGGAAGCAGCCAUUCAUUUAAAGAGUGCGUAACAGCUCACUAGUCGAGCGAUCUGGCGUGGAUAAUAAUCGGGCAUAAACGAUCUGCCGAAGCCGUGGAUGUCGCAAGACAUGGUAGGGGAGCAUUCCAUGCCGCGUCGAAGAUGAGGGAUGACCCUUGUUGGAGCGCAUGGAAAAGCAAAUGUAGGUAUGAGUAACGAUAAGGGGGGCGAGAAACCCCCCCGCCGAAAGACCAAGGUUUCCUGAUCAACGCUAAUCGGAUCAGGGUGAGUCGGGACCUAAGGCAAAGCCGAACGGCGCCGCCGAUGGAAGAAUGGGUUAAUAUUCCCAUACUGCCUCAUGGAGUGACGUGGAGACGGAGAAGUGACAGUCCUGCCGGCUGACGGAAUAGCCGGUUGAAGGGUGUAGAUAUUGAUUCCCGUAGGCAAAUCCGCGGGGAGAGUCGAACCUGAGAGUAUACGGAGCGCUUGCGCAACGUAAUAUGGACGUAACCAUGCUCCCGAGAAAAUCCGCUAAACUUAUCCAUGCGGCACCCGUACCGUAAACGGACACACGUGGUCGGGUUGAGAAUACUGAGGCGCUCGAGUGAUUCACGGUUAAGGAACUAGGCAAAUUGACCCUGUAACUUCGGGAUAAAGGGUCCUCGUCGUAAGGCGAGGCGCAGAGAAUAGGUCCAGGCAACUGUUUAACAAAAACACAUGGCUGUGCUAAAUGGAAACAUGAUGUAUACAGCCUGACACCUGCCCGGUGCCGGAAGGUUAAGAGGAGAUGUCAUCCGCGAGGAGAAGCGUUGAAUUGAAGCCCCGGUAAACGGCGGCCGUAACUAUAACGGUCCUAAGGUAGCGAAAUUCCUUGUCGGGUAAGUUCCG